ACUUUCUUUAACCUAAAAUUCCCUUAUUACCUCUAAUAGCCACUGAUUGAGCGUUAGAGUGUAUGCAUUGAAUCUCGACACCGGACUGAGACACCGAAUAUCUAUCACAAACUGGAGUAUACCAUCAAGUCUAGACAAGUAAGUCUAGUACCAACCGCUUCAGAUAUAUAACAGAUCAUUGGCACCGUCUGUGGGAAGUGCUUUAAUUGGCAUCUUUCUUUCUUCACCUCACACUAAGAUGGUAUUUAUCAGUGGAGAUGAUUCUUGUCAUAGCCUCUCAGAAAAAGUUCAAACGAUGAUGGCAAAGGGAAAAAUC
rnacentral:lncRNA from 1 species